rnacentral:rRNA from 1 species
AACGAACGCUGGCGGCAUGCCUAACACAUGCAAGUCGAACGAGACCUUCGGGUCUAGGGGCGCACGGGUUCGUAACGCGUGGGAACCUGCCCUUAGGUUCGGCAUAACUCCCCGAAAGGGGUGCUAAUACCGGAUAAUGUCUUAGGACCAAGGAUUUAUCGCCUUUGGAUGGGCCCUCGUUGGAUUAGCUAGUUGGUAGGGUAAAAGCCUACCAAGGCGACGAUCCAUAGCUGGUCUGAGAGGCUGAUCAGCCACACUGGGACUGAGACACGGCCCAGACUCCUACGGGAGGCAGCAGUGGGGAAUAUUGGACAAUGGGCGAAAGCCUGAUCCAGCAAUGCCGCGUGAGUGAUGAAGGCCUUAGGGUUGUAAAGCUCUUUUACCCGGGAUGAUAAUGACAGUACCGGGAGAAUAAGCCCCGGCUAACUCCGUG